GAAUUAUAUUAUUGUUAUGUGUUAUGUAUUGUAUUCUCCGUGGAGCGAAGAUUUGUAUUGCUGACUCACCUCUGUAACGUAGCGAUUGUUGUGUUUACAUAUAAGACGCGCAAAAUCCGAGCUCGAGUUCAUUCGUAGUUUCGACGUCGUAUCGAGUGGAUUCAAUACGGACUGGAGACGAUGGACGAUAAUUAUCGGCAUUUUUCAUGAAAAAUGGAAUAUUGAAGAUUUACACGAGAUGACGAGGUUUCUCGAUUUGAGAUCCAUCAAAGUAGGCGAUAACUGUCUUGCUGCCCAUGGGACAUUGCGGUUUUCUCGCUUGCCGUCGCAGAAUCGUCGGAACAUUCAGACCACGGGCAUCGUUAAACGAUCGUUAACAAGGCCUCCUCGAAGCUCCAACGUGGGACGGAUGGAACGAUUUGUCAAGAUCUGUGUGACGCGGGUUUCUCACACCAGUCUCUCCGUCGAAUAGCGAAAAAUAACAUAAUUCCGUUUAAACUCGAAUUUCUAUUGCAAUAUCUUUACCUUAAUUUUA